rnacentral:lncRNA from 1 species
UUAGAAUUUCCUUUCAUCAAAAGUAAAGGAUCGUAUCAUCACUAAAUAGUCUAAUAACAACAAUAAAUAUAAACAUGUUGAUGCUAAGCACUGAGCACUUUUUAAUUUCUAUUCUUGAUGGGAUAUGAGAAGUGUCCUGUUUAUUUCGUGUAAGCACUAUGUCUUCCUUGAACCUUGAAAUAGACUCAUAUUAUGCCAGAGGAGUCUGAUUCCUCAAGCAACGCAACGACCAAUGCGGGAAUAUCUCUUAGUGGUUCGAAGUAAGAUGUUAGGAACUACUGAUUACUGGUCCUAACCAACGUGUUGGAAAAGGGGAAGAAGUUAUUUUUCUUCCAAUUUGCUAAGACUGAAAUUUAAUCUCCCCUAACGGCUUAAGAGGACAAAUGGAGUGCAACAUAAGAUUAUGAAAAGUUAUUGGAUCAAGGGGGAUCCUGUUCUACAGGUUAUAAACUGUCGAGGAAGAGUAUUCGAUCACUAUUUGGCAGGGCGAUGUGCGCAAGCUGAGGAUUUCGAAGAUCAGAUCCUACUUAACAUGAAAAUAAUCGAGCUUCCUUGAUUGAAUGUGGUAAAUCGCCUAGUGAGGUGUUAAAGGGAUGAGAGAUGCGGAUAAGGCUUCAUGGUAAACUCCGUGGACUAAGAAGAUUUCUGGCGUCUUCUACUCUUAUCAGAAUUUAGUUGAUCUAUUGUGUAUUAGAAUAACCUCGUAUAUUAUUUAUUAUACUUCUUGUAUUCCACUUCUAAGGGGUGUUACGGGUAAAAGAUGAGAAACCGUACUUCAUUAUUUAACUGUAGUCUUAAAUUAUCUCCUCCUUCACUAAACUCUUUAACUUUCUGCUAUCAACUAUGUCAUUCAGUUUUUACAUCUCCAUAAUACACUUAGAUAUACCAUACGUAAACAGAACAAGAAUUUAUUUCUAAUUCUGACUCUUCUAGGAUUUGGUACUUGAUGCAAAAUGUUCAGAAAAUGGAUACUUACGAACUUUUGAAUUUUUUAACUAAACUUUUUCUCAGAAAAAAAUUUAACAAAAGUUGCUCUUUUAAUAUAUCAAUAUCAAUAAAGAUCAAAAAACAUGGUAGUCUUAAAUGAGGUAUCCCUGUUGUCACCUACAGAGAAGAAGGAGAACGCGUGUUAUAUAUUAAAUGAGAUCCAUGAUCAGUGAUCAAAGUAUAUUGUAUUAUAUUAUUGUGGCUCUAAUUAAUUAAUAGUUUUAAUUAUACUUACGUUUAAUUGUGAGUUUAAUAUAUAUUUUUAACUAAUUGUUUUGUAAUAAUUCAUGUUUAUAUUGUCUUAGCAAUAAUCAUCUUGAAAUAUACGUAUUCAAUAGGA